UUGAAAUGACAGAGAACUAUGCCCUACAAAAAAGAAAAGCAAAAGACAGAAAACAAUGGAUGAAUAUGAUAAAACCAAACAUGUCCUAGAGCUCUUUAAGCUUUGAUUUUGACAUAUGUCAUAUUGCAUAUUCUCUUUCUGCUCAAGAUCUGCUCUAAGAUUUCCAAGGAAUCAUUUGGUUUCAACAGACAAUAGUGCUCCAAUUUUAUUGAAUGACCCUCUGAAAAUUUUUAGCUUAAGUUUUCUGGGUUUCAAGACUGGAUUUCAUCGAAGGCUAAUGGAGAUGACAGAAACAAAUGGGGGGAGGCAAUGAGAAAAGAUUGAUGAUUCUCAUGGCCUCUUUUAAAUUUGGGGAAUCUUUCCUUGAUUUCUAGUACCUGUAAUUUUAAUUAUGUUUUUAUUUUAUUUUCUCUGUAACCAAACAAUAUUUCACCAGAAGGAAAGCACAUAGCAUGGAAUAAAAGCAGCUACUUUGUUUCUCUUUCUUCCUUGCAUGCAUCAAGAGGGAUGCAGUAAAGAUCUUAAGGACCUUGGUCCCCAUAGGAGAACAUAGUUGACUUACAAGAUUAAAAGUUGGGUUUCCACUUAAUGUGUGUUGAAGCAGAAGCAAGAGGAUUGGCAUGUUUGCAUAAUAUCUUUGGGGGAGGGUUUGAUUAGAAUCAGCAGGCUACAUUGGUUAAGAGAUUUGGACACUGACUGCUAGGCUGCAGGGUCGGCAAAUAUGUUGAGACAACAAGAUGAAGUGUCUAUUCACAACAUUGGAAAAUCAACCAUUACCCCCCUCCCACCCUGGAAUUCAUGACUUUUCACCAUCAAUUUCCCUCAAGGGGACCUUCCAGCACCCUUCUUCAUGUUAAUAUGAACACUAAACAAUGUUGAAAAACCCCAAUUGGACCAAGAUCUUGACAAUACAUUCCAAACAGGAAUUUGGAAACAUGAAGGGCUUGCUUUUCGAAUGACAUUUGUCCACACAUUUCUGAACGUUUCUUUAAGAUUUUGAUUCCAAUAGGGCAGAAAAGAGCCUUCUCUUUAUGGCCUGAUAUCCACUUAGCUACUAGGAUUUUGGAGGAAAUGAGAGCAAAAAAGAAAAGAAAAGAAAA